rnacentral:lncRNA from 1 species
GGUUAAGAGGACAACCAACUCAUAUGGCACACAAUGACCUCCACUCGAUAAAUAUCAUCAUCUUAUAAUGACGUAUCAUUUGGUCACGAGCAUGUUUAAGAAUUAUACGAUAAAUCCUCUUUUUAUCAUAUACUAAUAUAGUUCUAUGGACUUCGUCACAGCAUAAGAGUUCUAAGAAGAUGUAACUUUAUGAUGAAAAAUAUCAAAAUAACUAUUAUUCAUUUAUCAAUAAUUCAUAUAUAAAGAUGAACUCAAUCGUCACAUGAUUGAUUUUAGGACACAAUUUCUAACAUAGAUCUCACAAACUCUUUUGAGAACUAGGGAGAAUGG